rnacentral:rRNA from 1 species
GAUGAACGCUGGCGGCGUGCCAAUACAUGCAAGUCGAGCGAAUGGAUUAAGAGCUUGCUCUUAUGAAGUUAGCGGCGGACGGGUGAGUAACACGUGGGUAACCUGCCCAUAAGACUGGGAUAACUCCGGGAAACCGGGGCUAAUACCGGAUAACAUUUUGAAACGCAUGGUUCGAAAUUGAAAGGCGGCUUCGGCUGUCACUUAUGGAUGGACCCGCGUCGCAUUAGCUAGUUGGUGAGGUAACGGCUCACCAAGGCAACGAUGCGUAGCCGACCUGAGAGGGUGAUCGGCCACACUGGGACUGAGACACGGCCCAGACUCCUACGGGAGGCAGCAGUAGGGAAUCUUCCGCAAUGGACGAAAGUCUGACGGAGCAACGCCGCGUGAGUGAUGAAGGCUUUCGGGUCGUAAAACUCUGUUGUUAGGGAAGAACAAGUGCUAGUUGAAUAAGCUGGCACCUUGACGGUACCUAACCAGAAAGCCACGGCUAACUACGUGCCAGCCGCCGCGGUAA